rnacentral:rRNA from 1 species
UACGUAGGUGGCGAGUGUUGUCCGGAUUUACUGGGCGUAAAGGGAGCGUAGGCGGAUUUUUAAGUGAGAUGUGAAAUACUCGGGCUCAACUUGAGUGCUGCAUUUCAAACUGGAAGUCUAGAGUGCAGGAGAGGAGAAUGGAAUUCCUAGUAUAGCGGUGAAAUGCGUAGAGAUUAGGAAGAACACCAGUGGCGAAGGCGAUUCUCUGGACUGUAACUGACGCUGAGGCUCGAAAGCGUGGGGAGCAAACAGG